rnacentral:rRNA from 1 species
UUACCUCAGUAACGGCGAGUGAAGCGGUAACAGCUCAAAUUUGAAAUCUGGCUCUUUUAGGGUCCGAGUUGUAAUUUGUAGAAGAUGCUUUGGGCGUGGCUCCGGUCUAAGUUCCUUGGAACAGGACGUCAUAGAGGGUGAGAAUCCCGUAUGUGACUGGUAGCUUUCGCCCGUGUAAAGCUCUUUCGACGAGUCGAGUUGUUUGGGAAUGCAGCUCAAAAUGGGUGGUAAAUUUCAUCUAAAGCUAAAUAUUGGCCAGAGACCGAUAGCGCACAAGUAGAGUGAUCGAAAGAUGAAAAGCACUUUGGAAAGAGAGUUAAACAGUACGUGAAAUUGUUGAAAGGGAAGCGCUUGCAACCAGACUCGCAGGCCGUCGAUCAUCCGGGGUUCUCCCCGGUGCACUCGGCGGUUUUCGGGCCAGCAUCGGUUUGGGUGGUGGGAUAAAGGCCUUGGGAAUGUAGCUUCUUUCGGGGAGUGUUAUAGCCCUCGGUGCAAUGCCGCCUACCCGGACCGAGGACCGCGCUUCGGCUAGGAUGCUGGCGUAAUGGUUGUAAGCGACCCGUCUUGAAACACGGACCAAGGAGUCUAACAUCUAUGCGAGUAUUUGGGUGUUAAACCCAUAUGCGUAAUGAAAGUGAACGGAGGUGAGAACCCUUAAGGGUGCAUCAUCGACCGAUCCUGAUGUCUUCGGAUGGAUUUGAGUAAGAGCAUAGCUGUUGGGACCCGAAAGAUGGUGAACUAUGUCUAAAUAGGGUGAAGCCAGAGGAAACUCUGGUGGAGGCUCGCAGCGGUUCUGACGUGCAAAUCGAUCGUCAAAUUUGGGUAUAGGGGCGAAAGACUAAUCGAACCAUCUAGUAGCUAGGAUGCUGCGAG